rnacentral:rRNA from 1 species
AUGAUUUGUGGUGUUUGGUUAUUAAUUGUGUACUAUAAAUAUCAUAAUAGUAUUUACAUUCUCAUGCAUGUUUGCAUCUUGAGGUGCUUUUUUAUUAUGCAGGGUUGCAUGUUGUGGUGUGCCUUUUCUCUAUGCAUGUUGAAUGAUGAGGUGGCAUAUUUGCAUGUCGAGAGAAAUAGUUUAGUGGGGGCUAGCUAUUUAGAUAUAGAAGAUUUGCUUCUUGCAUCAUGUUUAUUAUUGAUUAUACUUUGCCAUCCUUGUUGUUGCCAUGAUCAUCUUGCUUUGUUAUAUGCUUCAUGA